CAUUUUGAACUCAGUACAAAACACAGAGUGACAGUUUUAUUUAAGAAUGGGAACUGUUAUUUUGAUGACUUUUGUCUUUAUAGCUACAAUAAGCGGUGUGUGGACAGAGAUCAGACUGGAGCAGGAAUCUUCUUUGGUGAAAAGAGCUGGAGAAAGUGUGAAAAUGUCCUGCGUUACAUCUGGUUUUUCUAUGACAAGCUACUACAUUCACUGGAUACGGCAGAGGCCAGGACAAGGGCUCAAGUGGAUCGGCAGAAUGAACGCUGGCAGUAAUGAUGCCAUUUACGCCAGUGCCUUUCAACAACGCUUCACUCUGACUGAAAAUGUCCCCAGCAGCACCCAGUACAUGGAGAUCACAGGCCUGACAGCAGAAGACACUGCUGUUUACUACUGUGCCCGGGAAGCACAGUGACAGGAAGAAUGCAGCUCAUGUACAAAAACAUCCAACCAAGUGCUACUGUGGAUGGAC